rnacentral:rRNA from 1 species
GACGAACGCUGGCGGCGUGCUUAACACAUGCAAGUCGAGCGAGGUCCACUCGGUGGCAACACCGGGGAAGACCUAGCGGCGAACGGGUGAGUAACACGUGAGCAACCUGCCCCGAAGACCGGGAUAACACCGGGAACCGGUGCUAAUACCGGAUGUCCUCAUUGGGCCGCAUGGUCUGAUGAGGAAAUGGAUUCCGCUUCGGUAGGGGCUCGCGGGCUAUCAGCUUGUUGGUGAGGAACGGCUCACCAAGGCUACGACGGCUAGCUGGUCUGAGAGGACGACCAGCCACACUGGGACUGAGACACGGCCCAGACUCCUACGGGAGGCAGCAGUGGGGAAUCUUGCGCAAUGGGCGAAAGCCUGACGCAGCAA